rnacentral:rRNA from 1 species
GUGAGGAAUAUUGGUCAAUGGGCGCAAGCCUGAACCAGCCAUGCCGCGUGCAGGAAGACGGUCCUAUGGAUUGUAAACUGCUUUUAUUUGGGAAUAAACUCCGGUACGUGUACCGGCCUGAAGGUACCAAAUGAAUAAGCACCGGCUAACUCCGUGCCAGCAGCCGCGGUAAUACGGAGGGUGCAAGCGUUAUCCGGAAUCAUUGGGUUUAAAGGGUCCGCAGGCGGUCUUAUAAGUCAGUGGUGAAAGCCUACAGCUCAACUGUAGAACUGCCAUUGAUACUGUAGGACUUGAAUUCGAUCGAAGUGGGCGGAAUGUGACAUGUAGCGGUGAAAUGCUUAGAUAUGACAGAGAACACCUAUUGCGAAGGAAGCUUACUACGCAUAUAUUGACGCUGAGGCACGAAAGCGUGGGGAUCAAACAGGAUUAGAAACCCGUGUAGUCC